AGGCCGUGCAGUAUCGGACGGGUGAACCUGCAGAGGGGUUCUCAUCACAUUAAGAAGAUAACCAGAGCUCAAACAUAGACAAAUUAUACAUCUGUUCAUGUGGAAUAACAGUUCUCCCUAGAGAUGACAGAUGGCUAUGUGCAGAGGUCUUUAUCUCCAUCUAUACAUCUAUGUACUUCAUAUAUCUAUUGAUCUUACAUUUUAUACUGAAAUAUACCUCGCACUGGGCAAUUAUUUAUGUUUGAUUUUGAAGAAAAAAUUAUUCCUAUUACUUACUUAUUUGUUGAAUUUUGGUCCUGCAAAAGGUUCGGAAGCUGGGAAGUAUCCUGAACGUCCCAGAGUCAUUCUUAAAGCGACACCCAUUUUCUGGGCCUGGUCUUGCUGUACAUGUCAUAGACGAUGUUACAGCAGGCAAUGUUUCCUGGGCCAGGGAUUUUUUUUGAUUUCUGCAAACUACAGUUUGGAAAUCACUAAUCCAUACACGGAAGUUAGAUAGCUAGUCAAGAUGCAGUAGUUUACGUUCACCGUUCAUAGUGUUUUGUUUUUCGUUUGUUUUGAAUUCAGGAACGACUAGUAGUGAUUAUUACUUUUUUCAUAUUUUUCUCCUCUAAGUUAUACAUUUUUCUCUUUCUCCAUUUCAACUUUUUCGCCCUACCUUAAUUCUUGGUUUGUCAGUUGAUGUGUCGUUAGUUUCCAAUACUUGACUCCACCCUGAUUGCUAUAAAGAUACCAUCAUUUGUUUGACAGACGUCAGUAAAAUAUGAGCACAGCUCCUGCCCCUGCGCAUAAGUUUGCACAAAGUUAUUUUCAUAUCUUAGCCUGCGCUGUUUUCCAUUUCAGUUUAAAAUAAGUAAAUAAAUGAACUGGGCGUACAACAUUAAACUACACUCUGCCUCACAAAUUAAUACUCUCUCUAUAAUUAAAUAUACAUUGACUAAAGGAAACACAUGCAUUUGAUACUUUUUUAUCCCUCGGUUUCAUCUCAUCUGGCGGUACUGCAGUUUAAGUAAACUGAAACCAAAUUAACAGCUACCAUUCUUGUAUUGAACAAAAUUAAGGCACACAUAUGUAUAAGCAGAUCAAGGCUAGCUAUGAGCAAACUGCAGAUAUAUGAUAUACUUUUAGCUAUAGCCACAUGUUAAAUCAUGUUUCCCCCAUCCGGAAUUAGUUGAUGCUCAAACGGAUGAAUCUAGAUGUAUUUCAAUGCUAGAUACAUCCGUCUUGGCGUCAACUAAUUUCGGACGAAGGGAGUACUUGACAAGAGGGAUAUAUAAUUGUGAUGUUUUAGAAAGAAAACUUGAGUUCGCUCGAACCAAAGAGUGUGUUAGAACCUUGUUUAUUUUGUAUCUUUAGCAAAGUGUUAAACCAGGACCUGAUGCAAGCACAUGACCUGUUGUAGUUUCAGUCAUCUACAGUGCUGCAACCUAAUAAGCAGCAGGGUAGUAGAGGCAUGGUAAGUGGCAGCAUAUGGUAUAGCUUGACAUGGGUUCAGACGGUGCACGUCCUGGUACUGCCCGCUGUAUCGACAGCAUGGCUGUAAAAGGGAUGAGGUGCAUUUGUGCAACAACCUAACCCAACUGAAAGAAUAGAAAAAAAAAGGAAGGCUCCCAAGAAGGAAUGCUUGGGAUUUUAUCUCCGACGAGUUUUUUUCAAUCUCUGUGUGUAUCCAUUGGAGUUCACCGUGCAAACAAUCUAGUUGGACAUUACGUACUGCUGCAUGUUGAUAGAAAUAGAAAUCCAAAAGGGGUGCUUCGUUUUUAGUCAAAGUUUAACCAUGUACGUAAAAGCUGAACCAAAAUGUGAUGUGUAGUCAUUCAUAUGUAUGUACAAUUAAUUGCAAGUGCCGAUCUAGGGGUAGAGAGGGGAAAGAGGGGUAGCUCACCACGUAUGCCCGCAAGGCUAGGAGGGGAGGGGGAAGUAGCCAUCAGUUAUCCCCUCCAUGCGCCGGAGGAGAGAGGAGGCAGGUGCGAAGAGGGAUGGUGGCCUGCUCCUCAACCUCCUCUGGUAAAGAGGGAUCGUCGGGGACGGACGCGUUGAGGAGGAGGUUUCUUGCUGCUGGUGUCGAGGAUGCUCUCAAAGUAGAUCUUGAGCGAGGCACUGCAGUGCUUCCUCAACUCUCUCCACAGGGUCCCUGUCUUCCUCCAGCGUCACCACCCCUUGCUCCGGCUCUGGCGAGUUAGGAGCAGCAGCAAUUAACAACAGUAUAACUUUCUGUUCACCUUGUACAUACAACUUUGACAUGAUAAAAAAAAUCUGCAGUAGGAAAUGUCCUUGCUAUUUCCAGUGAAAAGAGAUCUAAGAGGCCCAAAAAUAGGGGUGUUGUACUUCGAAAUUGCGACAUCUAAAUAACUGACUUCAGCAGGUUGUUAUUUUCAGGGGAAAUCUGGCAAAAUUUUAGUCGACAUCUUAACAACUGAAUUGAGCAAACAUUUAUGUUUCUGUGCAUUUUUCAGUUCGAGGAGCAGAGCUUUUUUCUUCCAGCGAGAGUUCCAGCUGACCUUGACUUAAUCAAAAGAAGCACAGUGGAACGCUUAUAUUAUAAAAUGCCAAUUGGCGUUUGUCGUGUCUGAUUGCCUUCUUGCUUGUGGAGCUGAACAACGACCGGUGACAAUUUCAAAGGAACGGGCAGAGACAGAGAUAGAGGAUAGGAGCAGAGAAGAGAGAAGGUACCCUGCGGCGGGUACUCCGGGUAGAACAUGGGCCGCUC
rnacentral:lncRNA from 1 species